UACGUAGGGUGCGAGCGUUGUCCGGAAUUAUUGGGCGUAAAGAGCGCGUAGGCGGUCCGAUAAGUCGGCUGUGAAAGUCAGGGGCUCAACCCUUGAAAGCCGGCCGAUACUGUCGGACUAGAGUCCGGAAGAGGCAAGUGGAAUUCCCGGUGUAGCGGUGAAAUGCGCAGAUAUCGGGAGGAACACCAAUGGCGAAGGCAGCUUGCUGGGACGGUACUGACGCUGAGGCGCGAAAAGCGUGGGGGAGCAAACAGG
rnacentral:rRNA from 1 species